AGAGUUUGAUCAUGGCUCAGGACGAACGCUGGCGGCGUGCUUAAUACAUGCAAGUCGAGCGAGGUUACUGCGACAGAUCCCUUCGGGGUGAAGUUGCUUUAGCCUAGCGGCGGACGGGUGAGUAACGCGUGGGUAACCUACCCUAAAGUUCGGGAUAACAGCGGGAAACCGCUGCUAAUACCGGAUGCCUUUACCGUGUGGCAUCACAGGGUAAAGAAAGGUAACGCUUUAGGAUGGGCCCGCGUCCCAUUAGCUAGUUGGUGAGGUAACAGCUCACCAAGGCGACGAUGGGUAGCCGGCCUGAGAGGGUGGACGGCCACACUGGGACUGAGACACGGCCCAGACUCCUACGGGAGGCAGCAGUAGGGAAUAUUGCGCAAUGGACGGAAGUCUGACGCAGCGACGCCGCGUGAGCGAUGAAGGUCUUCGGAUCGUAAAGCUCUGUCCUUGGGGAAGAAGGCGAAAGCUUGACGGUACCCAAGAAGAAAGCCCCGGCUAACUACGUGCCAGCAGCCGCGGUAAU
rnacentral:rRNA from 1 species